GGGGAUGUAGCUCAGUGGUAGAGCGUCCGCUUUGCAUGCGGAAGGCCCGGGGUUCGAUACCCCGCAUCUCCA